UUAAUUGAAACCAAAAAGAGGUUAAUUAUUGUUAAUAAUUAUAAUGAAUAAA
rnacentral:tRNA from 1 species